GGGAUCGAACAUAUGUCUAUGCUGAGCCCUUAUUGCAACCCGUCAAGACUCUUUCAUUUUGGUGUCCUCAACAUAUCACACUAGUCUCACUUGCUUUGCAAAAAUAUAAGAAUCACUUUCGUACCACAAGUGAUCAGUGUGGAGACUGACAAGCUGAGGGUCUACAAUAAUUUGCCGGUGUCGUCCUAAAACAUACCAUCGAUACUUGAAUAAUACGA
rnacentral:lncRNA from 1 species